UUUUUUUUAUAAUUUUUAUUUCAGUUUUAUGUAGCUAUAAAAACCCUGUUUUUAAGAGCCACAAAUCUUCACUUACAUCCAUCAAACUUCACAGGUUUAUUCACAUCUAUAUGCUGAAAGUUUUUGCAGAGGGGUUAAAUUACUUGCCCGAUUUUAUAGAUUUUAUUCCUAAAAGCAUUAUCAAAAUUAGUUGAUUUUCUUGUUGUUGACAGAAUUUUAUGUUUUAGGGUGAUAUAUUAAAAAUAUCAGAAAUGACCUCAAUAAAAACCUUUAAAAAGACUCAAAUAUAUCAACAACUAUAAAAAAAUAUUUUCAGACUGGCGCUAUCCAAUUUUCAGUUUUCUAUUCUGGAAAUAUAUACAACUUAAUAAAAACAGUUGUUAAUGUAACCAAUAAUUUUGUGUGUGAUGGUGAGUUGUUUUAGAACACAAACCUACAUGACAAAAAAAUCAUGUGCAAUUGGCAUCAAAAAAUGAGCUUCAACAGAAGGAUCCAAGAUGGACAAAUCCACUCAUAAUUACAGCACUUGAUCUUAUAGGCUGAAAGGAGAGGAUUUAGUAAUGAUCUGGCAACACGGCGGACCGACGGCAGCAUGCUUAAUUCACUCAUUCGCUCCCUACUACCACGGUGUUCAAUCCAAACCCCACUCCUCAAGCUUGGCUUAGUGUUGCCAUGGAAAUCCUGACUGUUUGCUUUCCAAACACAUUCAGACAAGAAAGUACAUGAUCUCGCCAGUCUUAGCCCAGCGGAGCUGAACUACACAGUCGACAAGGACACGGGAACGUCCUUAUCAAUCCGCCAGCCAAUCUCAAACGCACACACAAACAGAUAUUAAUGGAUUUGCAUAGAUGUCAAUCUGAUGGCUUGGGUUUCUGAAGACAGGCGGCCAGCAGGGUUUAUGAAAAUGAGCUGUUCCUGCAGUUGCCAGGAAAAUGAACUGGGGCACAGAACAGUGCAGGCAGUGAUCACAUGUGGGUUAGAUGGUAGUUGGGAGCCGUUAUGACAAGGCAUGGAGGAAGGUGCCUCUGAGUUACUCAUUACAUUCUUUCUGUCCCAUCAUUGCUGCCUUCCUCAUUACCAGGCUAAUUUCUCCAGGCUCUCUGUGCCACUGCCGUCACACAAUGGAGCCUUUGUGUGUGAAAACACGUGUGUGUGUGUGUGUGUGUGUGUGUGUAAGAUGGCUGAGCUCUCGUUCAACUGAAAUGCAACUGUGGUUCAACCUGACCCCAGCAGGUAUUCCUUUUAGCCAUCUGUAAUGCUUUAAGUUCUCACUGUCGCCCUCGAAACUUGUGCAAAACGGUCACCCAAGUGUGUUUCUCUUUCUUUAGUGGGAACUUGUUUGUGGUGAGGUCACCUACCAGCCAAAAUGGUUACAGCUAAUUGUCCAGCUGAGCAGAUUCUUUCCCCGGGCUGCAGCAGAACACAGAGGCUCAAGUCCAUUUUCCUGUCUGUUGGAGCUAAAUAGGACUCAACAACUGACUGAACAGUGUCUCAUCCUUAACUGUCUCAACCAUAUGGAUUUGAGGACAAAGACAUUUUACGUUUAUGCUAAUUACAACAGUCAAGUACAGACAAAGGACUACAAAGAUAUACCGGUACCAUAAUAAAGAGACUGUGAAUGCCAUGGCACAAAAAUGAAAAGCCUGAUGAGGAAAGGGUGGGCAUGUGAGCUUGUUAAUGUGUUUGACUCUGUUUGUUCCAUCAGAGGAGAAUGUGAUAUUUGAAGGAUGAGAGAACCUUUUCGUACCAGAAAUGGGAAACUUAGAAGCCAUCCUCAUUCCACGUAUGUACUUUACAAGGAACAGAGAGACAGAAAUAAAGAGCGGCAACAAGGAAGUCUGGAAGGGAGACAGAGCGGCAAGUCGGAUAGCAAAAAGUGGAGGAAAAAAUAAAACAUAAGUUAAGGUGGGUGAGGGCCAAACAAAAUGCAUUGCUGCUGUUCUCAUUCUCAUACAGUCUCCUGUUUAUUAAUAAGUAGUACCGCUGUUACUCCCCUGUCGAGUCGAUUAUAAUGGAAUGUUAAGUCUGUGUUUUCAGGGGAAACGCCACACCAAAAACUUCCCAGCAUCCUUUCUGCUUAGCAAAUGGUGACGCAUCAUACUGCUGACACAAGUCAGCUGAUUUCUGUGUCACGGCAGUGGUUUUAGGCGAGUGGCAGUGCUCCGGCUACAGACGUAGAGACUUUUUUUUCUCCCAGACGCACUGCGGCACAGCCAGACGACUAGAGUGGAGGCACAGGAGCUCACAGCUGCAGUCUACUGGCUUGUUUCGGGGAGGCAGAGGAGACGAGCACUACCGCCGCUCUUUUACUUUUUGCUGUUGAAGGGUAAUUUUAAUCGGGGAAGAGCAUUCGAAGAGAGUAGAGCCCCAAAAAAUAAGACAAACUCUGAGUCAAACAACUUGGAAUUAACGUCGGUCUCAUUUAUGGACAGAAAAUUUGGAGAAGCGAGCACGGAUCGUGAUUUUUUGGGGUGCUGCUGACGGCAUCGUCUACAAGUACCGGACCAGGUUCCCAGGCUGAGACAAGUCACUGAUGAAAGCUUGGAUUCCAGUGCGUCACCGGUCCGUCCCAUCAUAAACUCGUCCCACCCGAGACGUCCAGUCCGCUGGGCCUGUCUGCAUUCCCAUUCGCAUUGACUGGCCAAAGUUGCCGCUCCACUCCAGGGUUAAGGUGGCUUUUGGUCCCAGACUUAGUCCUUGUCCAGAGGGCAGGGCAGAGGCGAACAGAAACAGCGACGCGGCAGCUAAGCUGAGCUCAACCAGACAGACGCAGUGACCUAAAUCAGCCCCAGUCAUGUCUGGACGCAGCCAGAGCGAAGCAGACAGAGAGGAAGACAGAGCGAAAGAGAGAGAGAGAGAGGGAAACAGCGACCCACACAUACUGACUUGAACAUAUACUCACACUAUGGUAGGUUUAGAUGAAUGCAAUUACCCUGUAAUCAAAUGUAGUUUGUUUGCCAUCCGUUUGCGUUCAGUUCUUGCUGAUGCUGUGGUUAGUUGAGAUUAGCUUGUCUGUGGCUGUGCUUCUAUCUUUGUGCCAUAGGGAUGGAGAGAAAUUAAGGAGGCUGUAAGGGGAGGGGGAGACAGAGUUGUCUCUCUCUCCCUCUCUCGGUCUUUUUUCGCCACUGCUUUAUUUUGUUCCAUUUGCUGGUGUUUAUAUUCACCGUAUGUCUGCGCUGAAUACUGCACAUCGAAACGUAGAGUCGUCGUCCCCCUCACCUCCCCGUUUGCACUUUUGGGUCCAGUAAACGGCUGGAUAAAAGGCGGGCUGAAGUGAGUUGGUCAGAAAGGCCUUGCCAAACCCACAGUCUGGUCUGCUGCUUUGCUACCGCUGUGGUGUUUUGAUGUGCGCUGCUGUGCAGAUGCAGUUUCUGGGCGAUCACCAACAAGCUACCGUACAGAAGGAGACUUUAGUAAAGUAAGGAAUAUCUUUCAAGGUUAGUGUCAAAUCCUAAGGGCACCGUGAUCCAGCUGUUGCUUUAUAGCACAUAUUCAGAUUGCCGGGCCAUGUGGCAUCUGUCCCUGCUUGCUCCGCCAAAAACAGUUCAACAGAAGAGAGGAUGCCCUUGUAAAAAAUUU